GCAUAUCAAUAAGCGGAGGAAAAGAAACUAACAAGGAUUCCCCUAGUAACGGCGAGUGAAGAGGGAAAAGCCCAAAUUUGUAAUCUGGCUCUUUUAUAGAGUCCGAGUUGUAAUUUUGAGAACUGUUUUCCGUGCUGGACCAUGUACAAGUCUGUUGAAAAACAGCAUCGUUGAGGGUGAAAAUCCCGUAAAUGAUAUGGACUACCAGUGCAAUGUGAUACAGUCUCUAAGAGUCGAGUUGUUUGGGAAUGCAGCUCAAAGUGGGUGGUAAAUUCCAUCUAAGGCUAAAUAUAGGUGAGAGACCGAUAGCAAACAAGUACCGUGAGGGAAAGAUGAAAAGAACUUUGGAAAGAGAGCUAACAGUACGUGAAAUUGUUAAAAGGGAAACAUUUGAAGUUAGACUUGUUAUUAUUGGUUCAACUUUCUUCUGAAGGUGUAUUCCAAUGGUUAACAGACCAGCAUCAAUUUUUGAGUGUUAGAAAAGGGUCUUGAGAAUGUAGCAAUUUUGGUUGUGUUAUAGCUCUUGACUUUGAUAUAAUGCUUAGGAUUGAGGAACGCGGUGAGCUUUUAAUUAAGUGGAUGCCCUUUGGGUGUCUUCUCACUACGGAUGUUGGUGUAAUAGCUUUAAAUGACCCGUCUUGAAACACGGACC
rnacentral:rRNA from 1 species